rnacentral:rRNA from 1 species
AUUGAACGCUGGCGGCAGGCCUAACACAUGCAAGUCGAACGCGUGGCGGACGUGUGAGUAAUGUCUGGGAAACCGCCCGAUGGAGGGGGAUAUCUAAUGGAAACGGUAGCUAAUACCGCAUACCAUCGGAUGUGCCCAGAUGGGAUUAGCUGGUAGGUGGGGUAACGGCCCACCUAGGCGACGAUCCCUAGCGGAUCUGAGAGGAUGGCCGGCGACACUGGAACGGGGACACGGUCCAUACGCCUGCGGUAGGCAGCAGUGGGCAACGUUGCACAAUGGGCGCGAGCCUGAUACAGCCGUGCAGAGUGUAAGGAAGAGGCCUUCGGGUUGGAAAGUACGUUUAGCGGGGAGGCGUUAGUCGCAGAAGAAGCACCGGCUAACUCCGUGCCAGCAGCCGCGGUAAUUC